GUGCUCGCUUCGGCAGCACAUACACUAAAAUUGGAAUGAUACAGAGAAGAUUAGCAUGGCCCCUGUGCAAAGAUGACACACAAAUUCAUGAAGCAUUCCAUAUUUAU
rnacentral:snRNA from 1 species